rnacentral:tRNA from 1 species
GCAGGUGUGAUGUAACGGGCAACAUGAGGCUCUCGUACAGCCUUCAUGCAGGUACCCUUCGGGAAGGCAAAGCCUACAACUCCUGUCGCCUGCUCCA